CACAGCCCCUCGCUUGGAAAUGGUGAACAGGUGGUGGUAGCACUGGUGUUACCACUACAAGUGGAGGUCCCACCGAGAUCCAAGAAAGAAGGGACGCGCUGAUGCACACCCAAAGAGUUGCCAGCUUAAGUCAUGCCGAGAUCAAUAAAAAUGGGCCUUGGUGGUUCGUGUUCCUGGAGUUGUGUCCAUGCCAGUGGAUGCCCACACACUCCAGAAGAGAAUUUGACAUUGCUGCUGCUGUUGUUGCUGUUAUAGCCGUAGCGGCCACUGCUGCUACUGUUUCUGGGAUUGCCAUUUCAUAAUUGGUUACUACAGCUAGCACAGUGGAGACCCUGGCAGCAAAAGUAGCUACCACAGUUAAUUACUCUUUCAUUCUAUUGGGCAUGAUAAAUUUAAUUCAGUAGUUAUAUACAUUUCAAUUGGCUUUGAAAGUUGUAAAUUUAUAAACUCAAGUUCCAUUUGCUUUUGGGAUACCAUCUUAUGAGGACUCCAAUUGGCAGUAAGGCUCAUUUAGGAAGGGAAUGGCUCAAUUGCCUUUAGCCUAUUGGCUAUGGGUGGGUUAGGACUUCUGUUGGUCUUUUCUGUGUCAAACACACAGAUUGAAAGCCCAGUGCCACUCUGAGAUCUUUGUUAGCUGUAAACUCUGCAGCUCACACACAGUUGUGCCUUUAUGAUAAUGAGUAUUCAGAGAUGGGUAAUGCCUGGGGGGCACUCAUCAACCUAAGACAGAGCGCCUGUGUGGCCUGGGCAGGUGUCUCCAUGACAGGUAAGGUGACCUGCUGACAUCCCAUGCAACCUAAGUAAGAAGCUCAUUUUUUAGUAAAAGGGGGGACCUGUAGGGCCCUAGACCCCGUUUUGGGUAGCUGUUGCCUUGCUUGCUGACCUUGACCUUGAUGUCCUCCCUAUGCUAAUUCCCUGCUGGUUUCCACCCUCCUGAAUCUUUAAGGGAAGUUCCUUGUUUGUGUAUCCUGCAUAUUGGGUGUUAACUGCUUAGAUGCAAGAUUGUAAAACUUUGGUAGCAAACUUCUGCCCUCCAGGGUUCUCCCAUUUUGCUGUAGGCCUGUAUUUAAGGCCUCCUCCCUCCUUCAAUAAACGGCAUUCAGCAUUCUGCUAAGGUGAA